rnacentral:rRNA from 1 species
AGCAGCCGCGGUAAUUCCAGCUCCAAUAGCGUAUAUUAAAGUUGUUGCAGUUAAAAAGCUCGUAGUUGAAUUUCGGGACCAAUUUGUUGGUCGUGCCUCGGUACGUACUGGUAUUAUUGGUUUCUCCCUUCUGAAGAACCUCGAUGUCAUUAAUUUGGUGUCGUGGGGAAUCAGGACUGUUACUUUGAAAAAAUUAGAGUGUUUAAAGCAGGCAUACGCUUGAAUACAUUAGCAUGGAAUAAUGAAAUAGGAUGUUUGAUUCUAUUUUGUUGGUUUCUAGGAUCGACGUAAUGAUUAAUAGGGAUAGUUGGGGGCAUUAGUAUUCAAUUGUCAGAGGUGAAAUUCUUGGAUUUAUUGAAGACUAACUACUGCGAAAGCAUUUGCCAAGGAUGUUUUCAUUAAUCAAGAACGAAAGUUAGGGGAUCGAAGACGAUCAGAUACCGUCGUAGUCUUAACCAUAAACUAUGCCGACUAGGGAUCGGAUGAUGUUAAUUUUUAAUGACUCAUUCGGCGCCUUACG